rnacentral:rRNA from 1 species
AUUUAUAAAUAAAAGGUAGUAAAAUAAAUAAAAACCUAUUAAAUUUGGCAGUUAUUAAAAAUUAGAGAAACUCGCUUAAUAAUCGACAACCCUCGUUAAAUUUAACUUAUUAUAAAAACCUAUAUACCUCCGUUUAAAGAAAAACUAAAAACUAAAAUCCAAACAAAAACAAUAAAAAAUCAGGUCAAGGUGUAGUCAAUAAAUAAGACAAAAGUAAGUCACAUAUAAUAUAAAAUUAUGAAUUUAUAUUUAAAAAAUCAAUGAAACAGAAUCUAAAAUCAAUACAAAAAUAAAAACUUUGAAUGAAACUGUAACUAAUAAUGC